rnacentral:lncRNA from 1 species
CAUUCUUUCUAAGGACUGUCCCCUAGCACUCGCUGGUCCACUUGUCUCCUUACCUUCUUACUAGCAGGCAGAAGGUCCUGGUAUAUAGUCUGAGACAGAGAAAAGGUGUCUGUAGUGAGUGUAGAAGAAAAGGGACAUGCCACAGUGUUAGAGAGACCAACGUCUGCAUUACCUAAACUAAUUUUAAUGUCAGCCAGUGCACACAAGUUUUGUUCCCAUACAUCCCUCUUAAGCUUCCAAACUUAAAGGGACACUAUAGUCACCAGAACAACUACAGCUUAUUGUUUUUGUUCUGGUAAGUAGAAUCAUUCCAUUCAGGCUUUUUG